GCCUGCUUUAUGCUGGCAACUGCUCCUGACUGCCACUGUGCCAACCAUUUGGCAUACCCCCCCCCCAUGCUGUGGUGGGGAGGGUGCUGGCUUGAGGCUUAUGUUCUGUUACUAGCUAUGCUCCUGACUAGCUGAAUGAUUUUGGGCAACUCCUGGCACUGCUUGGUGCUUCAGUCUCCCCUCUUGCCUUUGUCUUUUCUAGGAUGAUGCACCCCAGUCUAGGCUCCUGUACUCCCUGGGAAGCUGGCAGCAUCCUGACGUGCUCUGUGAAACAGUUGCAAAGAGAAGUUGCCCUUUAGUGAAACAGUGCAGUGCUACUGCCUAGCGUUGUAUGCACAGAAGCAGACAAAACACAUUAUAGGUGCCAAAAAUUUCAGGAGCCACCUCUGGUUCCCCUAGCUGUCCAUGGAGAGGAGUGAGGAAGUAUGAUGAGGAAAACAGAUAAUUUAAUAUCAUUCAUCCUUCAUCAUGAAGACAUCCAAAGCAAGGAGCUGAUCCGGACAGCCCUCUACAUGCAUUGACAUCUAUAGGAGUUCCACGCACCAGAAUUGGGCCCUUAAGAUGAUAGAUUAAUUACAGAGAGGCAUCACUUUUCCCCCUUUUAAAAUGCAGUCAGCCCUGGGGUGGAACAUAUCAAUUGUUUACCAGUGCACAGCAACACAAAGCAACUUCUUAGAGCAAGAAGUGAAGAAGACUGUAUCCUAUUGAAUCCACUUGGGGAAAUGAGUGAGGCAGGAUAUAAUUAUCCACACUAGAAAACACCAAAGUAUUUACUAUCAUCUAUGGAAAGUAUAUUCAGUUUUACCUGGUUCAAGUGAAGCUGCCAACUACAUGGGCUUGGGCCGAAUCAUUCCUGUUUUAUACCAGGGAAUUGGGACUGUGGAGAAAAUAAAUCCUCUCAGGUUGGAAUGCAACAAAAUCAGAGACAGCUUUAUGUGAGCAAUUGCAAGGGAAGAAAUGCAGCUGAUAGAGAGCAUCUCUGCCUCAGUUUCUCCAAAGUACAAGCAAUAAGCCGCAAGCAUUAAUUGAAAACAUCUGCAGUUUAUUUAUGUUAUGUCCUGCCCAUUCCAGCAUUUUCUCACUUCGGUCUCUCUUCUGUUCUCAAAACAUUGCUAUCUCAAGGCUAAGUCACACUGACUUUGCGCUGUUGUUUCCCACCCACUUCAGACAGAGAUCCUGCUUUCCCAAGUCUCGCAUUAUGAGACUUCAAGAGUUAGCUUGACUGUGCCCUGUUUUGACAUAAUUACAGGCUUAUAGUUAUAGUCAAAUCAUUUAUCCCUUGUUUGCACAGGACCUACACAAUGACAGAACUGAAAGCUUCCAUCUAGCAAAGCAUAAGAACAUAACU